GCCUGCCCAGUGAACAUUCAACGGCCGCGGUACCCUAACCACGCAAAGGUAGCAUAAUCACUUGUUCCUUAAAUAGGGACUAGUAUCAACGGCACCACGAGAGUCGCACUGUCUCCUCCCUCCAAUCAGUGAAACUGAUCUUCCCGUGAAGAAGCGGGAAUAAAAUUAUAAGACGAGAAGACCCCAUGGAGCUUUAAACCUUCAACAACUUAAUAUUAUAUUUCCCCAUAACUAUAAGCCUUGCCCACGGUUUUAGGUUGGGGCGACCGCGGAGCAAAAACUARCCUCCCUGACGAAAAGAACUAAAUCUUUAUCCAAGAGCUACCCCUCUAAGAAUUAGCACACUAACGCACACGACCCGAUAAUCGAUCAACGAACCAAGUUACCCUGGGGAUAACAGCGCAAUCUACUUCAAGAGCUCAUAUCGACAAGUAGGCUUACGACCUCGAUGUUGGAUCAGGGUAUCCUAGUGGUGCAGCCGCUACUAAUGGUUCGUUUGUUCAACGAUUAAAA
rnacentral:rRNA from 1 species